AUAUUCUUCUAUCUUUCCCUACAAUCUUUAUUCUGUAACAAAGGAAAACACUUGAUACCUAUGGGAACCAAGAUACAGAAACAUUUUAAAGUUAGAUACUUAUAGUCUAAAGAAGAAGAAACUAAAGAAAGCAUUAAUAUUCAUGUACAGAGUCAUUCGUUACAACUAUACUUGAAAGAUAUCUUUGUGAUAUUACAGCUAUACUUAUACUAGAGAAAGUAGAUUCAUAUUGUUUUAUGCAUAAUUUUAUGAAAUAUAUGAAUAUUGCAUCUGGUCUGGGAUUUCUUUUUCUUCUGUUGUUAUAGAUUAUGCCUGGUCUGGGAUUUAGAUGUGUAUAUAUAUUUAAGAAAUGUGAAUAUUGCACAUGUUCUUGUAUUGCUGGUAUGUUUUAUUCAUUAGAUUUUUGUUUUUUGGCCUAUGUAAUUUUCAAAGAUUACCCCCAAAACAGAAGCUUUUGUUUAUUGUGAGUGUUGUCUCCAUGAAGUUUAAUAAAAAGGUCCAAUUAUUAUGAGACAUGUCUAGAAUCCAUUCUUUUUUGUUUUUCUUCUUCUUUUUUUAUAUAAUUCUUUUGGCUGCUCCUUCUCAUGAUUAAUUCAGUAUUGAUUAUAUUUUUUAGCUCAUUACAAGUGUUGAAUCACAAAUAUUCAACACUUGCAUAUAUUUAGAUAAAGUUUAGUUCAUUCAUUCUCUAUUCUCUUUGAUGAAUGUGGUGCUAUUUGGAGAGACCAGUGAUAAGGAACACAACAUAAUGAAAAUUUCAUACGUUUGCCAUAAUGGAGUUGUAUUGUAUUGUAUGUAUUUGGUUUCGAUUCAUGUUAGGGUGAUUGGUGCAGGAUAAUUGGCCUUCUGUGAUGUUUGCAAAGGCAGGAGGUGUGGUACUUAGCCUUGGAAAUCUCUCAACUCAGUAUGCUUGGGCUUUUGUUGGCUUAUCAGUCACAGAAGUGAUCACUGCAAGCAUAAUAGUUGUUAUAGGUCUUUUCUUUCACUCUCUCUCUCUCUCUGACCAUUUCUAAAUGUUGAUGUUUGUCUGUGUUGCUCUUAUAGAUACUGAAUUUUUUGCUUCUGUUGCGAUCUUUAAUGGUGACAGGAACAACCUUGAAUUACUUUUUAGACAAUAGAAUUAAUAGAGCCGAGAUCCUUUUGCCUGGUGUGGCUGCUUCUUGGUUGCAGUUUGCCUUGCUUCUACUGUCCACUCAUCUAAUGCAGCUGAUAAUAAAGAAAAGCUUGAAGGUUUUUAAUCUAAAGAGGGGUAUGUUUCAUUCAUUAAAUGUUAAGGUUAUCAAAGAAUUAUCUUGUUUCCAGGUGACAUUCUUCUUUCUUUUUAUUAGAAAGAGUUCUUUUUUCUAACUUUAUUUUUAGUUUUAUUGCAGAAAUUGGGCUAAACCUUAUAUUAAAGAUGCUAAAGAAGUUUCCAGGUAUAUUGAGAUGAUUUCUUUGGAGCAAUUCUUGACAACAUUUGUAGUUGAGGCCUUUAGAAUGGAAGAAUGUAUUUCACUAAUUUUUGUAUACAUUUCUUGUUUUGUAUUUAGUGAUAAAGGAAUCUGAAUUGGGCAUAAAUUAUGUUGUAAUAUGAUUUCUUAAGCCUAGACUAGUAGACUAAAUAUUGUAAUUACAUUUGAGUAAUUAAUAGAAAUCUAUUUAU